CAUUUUAAAUUACAAAGCAACUUUGUUAGGAGAAUCUUGGUAAAUUUCUAAAUUGUUAAAUCCUAUUGUUUUCAUAAGGAGUUUGUGUCAUGUUCCCUCUUGAAGCAGUGGUGUGCAGGUAAAUGUUUAACAACCAGCUCUCCAGAGGGGAAAAUCCUGAUUUGUAGCAUUUGCAGAUUUCUGUGGUUGGCAGAUGAAUGCCUUCCCCUAAAUUAAUUCCUGGAACCUGAGAAUAAAUUUGUUUAUAUGGCAAAGGAGAAGUAAAAUUGUACAUGAAAUUUCUGUUGAUAAUCAGCUGACUUUAAAAUAGGGACAUUAUCCUGGAUUAUUCAGAGCCCAGUGUAAUAGAAGAAUCCUUAAAAGUGAAAGAGGGAGUCUGAAGGGGAAAGUCAGAGGGAGACGUGACUAUAAAAGAAUGAUAAAUGCAAUGUUGCUGGCUUCAAAGAUGGAGAAAAGAAAUCAUGAGCCAAGAAAUGUGGGAAGCUUCAAAGAAGCUGGAAAACCUAUGGAAAUGAAUUCUCUUAGCACUUCCAAAAAGGAAUUCAGUCCAGUGAAUUCUAACUAAUAUAACUGUGAGAUAGCAAUUUGUGUUUUAAGCCAUUAAAUUCAUGGUAAUUUGUUAUAGGAGCAAUGGGAAAACUAAUACAUCUACUGUGGCAGAGUUUAAGGUACCAUCUUGUUUUUUCAAUCGAAGGUUGGAAAAAUGCAAGAAGAAUUAGCUCUUGAGAGCUGAUGUUGAACUCAUUCUAACACGGCACUGAGUGGACUCAAAUAGGAAAAGAGUCUAAGGCAACUGGAAGGAAGGAAAUGGACAUCUAGGGAGGGGAAAGAGAAUGGGAGGAGGUGAUCACGUUGAACAACUCUUGAGGGUGACGACAGUACAAAUGAUGUCCCGUUUAGCUGAACAGAAUUGAGUCCCCGACAUGCUUUUAGAUUUUUAUACAAUAUGAAAACUGCUGCUCUUUUAUAAAGUGUUUUUUUCAAAUUGUUCACUAGAAACUAAGUAAAAAAUCAGGAUUAUAUACAGAAAAGAGAACAGGGUUUGAAUAACAUAGAACUUCAGUCACUGUCCAGCCAAAAAAACCAAAAAUAAACUCAAGAGAUCAAAAA